UACGGAGGGUGCAAGCGUUAUCCGGAUUCACUGGGUUUAAAGGGUGCGUAGGCGGGCAGGUAAGUCAGUGGUGAAAUCUCCGGGCUUAACCCGGAACUGCCGUUGAUACUAUUUGUCUUGAAUAUUGUGGAGGUAAGCGGAAUAUGUCAUGUAGCGGUGAAAUGCUUAGAUAUGACAUAGAACACCAAUUGCGAAGGCAGCUUACUACACAACGAUUGACGCUGAGGCACGAAAGCGUGGGGAUCAAACAGG
rnacentral:rRNA from 1 species